rnacentral:rRNA from 1 species
UACGUAGGGGGCAAGCGUUGUCCGGAAUCAUUGGGCGUAAAGAGCGUGUAGGCGGCCCGGUAAGUCCGCUGUGAAAGUCGGGGGCUCAACCCUCGAAUGCCGGUGGAUACUGUCGGGCUAGAGUGCGGAAGAGGCGAGUGGAAUUCCUGGUGUAGCGGUGAAAUGCGCAGAUAUCAGGAGGAACACCAAUUGCGAAGGCAGCUCGCUGGGACGUAACUGACGCUGAGGCACGAAAGCGUGGGUAGCAAACAGG